rnacentral:lncRNA from 1 species
UUUGGCCCUUCUGAUGGUUUGCGCGUCAUCCUUCCUUUCCCCUAAUCGGGCCGCCUGGCCAACCCGUUAACACACAAAAACGCUGGGGUAGCCCAAGAUCUUACCCAGAUUGGGGCGACUUGGAGCCGUAGCUUACUGCCCUGACUCUAACUAAACCCCAGCUGCAUACUUUCCCACACUAAAAAAAUUCCCCAUACUACAAUUUUCCCAUGUUGUGAAUAAAAACUGAAUUCAGAGAAAUAUCCUGCUGCUGUGUACACAUUUUACCUAGAAAAAAUGUACUGUCUAAGACUACAAAACAAAAACUGAAAAAAAAAGAACUUGACCAUACAUUUGCCGUAAGGAAGAAUUAGAUACCUCAAAAAUAAGACUGAAGAAGAAACAUCUUGUUGUUCCCCUAUGGGAAAAUGUAGAAAAAAGUCAAAAAUUAGGAUGAAGAAAAAACUCUGAAGACUGAUGCUACUUGUGCUGAAGACUGAUGAAAACGCAUACAAAACCUGACAGUAACUUCAAUAAAAAACAAUGAUGGGAACAGAGAUCUUGCCAGAAUAGCAUACGACAACAAUUAUCUUCGAAAAGUUGUUUCUUAAACUCCGCCCUCGUAAAACAACCACUCCUUGGCUGCUACAGCCGCUGGAAGCGACACAGGUGUCAGUAGGCUUAUUAGCGCAGACCCACAAAAAAUGAUCUUCCUCCGUGAGUUGUAUCUUUGAGCGUCAAAAGCAUGUAUCUGUUGUGAUGGGAUUCAACACCACUGACGCCCCAUUUGGUCCAUUUCCAGCGUGCAUCUGAUCUGUAAAAAAUGAAGUGAAGCAAUAAAUAUGAAGGCCAAAUUAGUAAGAUGACAAAAUGCAGAUAAACUGAAAACUGUAUGAACAAACUUGCUAACCUACCUGGGAUUUCUUGACAAACUAAGCAACUAGGAUGGACAGCUUUAUUCGAGAAGAUCGAACAAGGACUGAAGUAGCUGAAGGUCUGAAUACUCAUAAAUAAGAAAACAGUCUAGAUAAGCAGAACAAAUUUUUCGUGGUUGUAGGCUGUGGUGGACUUAGGUCUGAAACAAUGAAUACUAAAUUAAGACUGAACAGUGAAUACUAACUAACCUACCUAUGUGGUAACACACAAAACUGAACAAAAUGACACCUAACACUGAAACUAAUAACAUAACUAAAAAAUGACACUAACCCCUGAGAGUACUUAAAAUGACACUAGUGUGGGAGAAGUUGUUGAGUAAGUGUGGGACAACUUUGGCUCGGAGAUGUGAAAUAUAACCUACAGGUACAAAAAUAAAGGUAAGAAAAUGAUCAGGACUCAUUGGAAAAUGACAGAGUGAGUAAGCACUAGGGACUCAGACUGAUUGACUAAAAACUGAUAGACUAAAAAAGGAAAUGAAUGCAACAAGUAAUGACUAAAUGAGAAAAACAAAUCUAAGAAAAAGCUAAAGUUUAUAUAAUUCUAUCAGCUAAAAGGACUAAGUUUGUAUCUGAAGCAGGAAAAAACUGAAUUCAUACACAAACUAAAGAAGAAAUGAAAUGUUUAACUGAACAGGACAACUAUCAUGCUAUCAUAAAACAUACAUGGAGGUGUUGGUAAUAUCCACAUCAUAGCCUUGUAAAAAUGAGUGAUGAAUGAAAAAUGAAACAUAACAAGAACUAGACUGUAGUGAUAAAUGAAUAACUGACCAUGACAGUGAACUAGACUAUAGUGAUAAAUUUUUUUGAAACAGAACUAUAGUGAUAAAUUGAACAUAUUCAAAACUAAGUUACCACUCAGCUUUCAAAGUCCUCAGACAACCAAACCCCAAAAUUUAGACGCGAUGAGCGACGGUCAGCGCAGUCGGACCUGCAGAUUGGGUACGCCAUCCCCGUUACAUAUGUAGCAGAGAAAAAACUAUUUUUUUAGCAAAAAGAUGACUGAAAAACUAAGAACAGAGACUCACCAGAUAACUAAUUUAAACUACAGGAAUUAUAAACACAUAUCAAGUCUAACAAAUUUAAAAUGAAUGCCGAAAAUACAGGAAUAACAUCAUAAAGUGAAAAUAAUAAGCUGAAUGGAAACUAACUAGUUAGAAUAAUAAAUGACUUAACUUAAAACUGAUAGACUAGAACAAACACUGACCAAAUAACUGAAGAGAACUAAAAUGAGACACUUAAGAUACUAAACAAACACCGACCAAAUAACUAAUCACUUAAUAUACAGUUGAAGAGAACUAAAACUGAUACUUUAGAGUACUGAUGACUAAAAACUGAAAAUAAUCUAGCAAAAAAACCAGUGCAAAAAACUGAAAACCAAAAACUAAAAACUUAGGACUUACAGGAACAUAAGGUUCAAAACAGAAAUAAUCAUCUACUAAAAGACAAGACUCAUGAGAGAUAGGAGUGAAGAAAGAUGCAAAUGAUAACUAAAUAUGAUAAAAAUGAGGACUGAUACUAUUACCAAAACUAACAUAAGACUGAGAAGGCAAGCUUACAAACUGAGGAAGAAAAACACCAAUUGCUGGAACAAAAUUAUAGAAAGGUACUGAAAACGGAAGACUAGACUACAGAAACACUGAAAACAAAGAUUCUAAAGACACAGAAAACUGAAGAACUAGAGAUAGAGAGAAAAGAGGGCUGAAUAAACAAGACAAAAAAGGUGGUUGAAUAGUAAGGUGACUCAAGAAACACUGAAAAGUGAAGGAUUGAAGACAGAGAAAAGAAAUCUGAAGAAAUAAACAAUUACUAAAGACUGAAGAAAGAUGACUGAAAAUAUAUAUGAAAUAGUUACUGAUGACAGGAUGAAGAAGAGAUGUAAUGGGCAAGGUAUGCAAACAGAUGAAUGAAGCAAUUCCAACAGGACAAUAGGGACCCUAACCACUAUAUGGCGCAGAGUGGAGGUGACAGUUUGACUGUCGAGCUAUUGAAUCCUACUAUAGCCUGACAAUUUGUCUAACCUCCCUGAUUGGAUAAGUGAUUUUCAGGCACUGUAGUUAAAAAAAAUAUGAAGUGAAGUUUGCAGCAGUUGAAAUUCAUUUUAAACGAUAGCCAUUGCCAGAAGAACUAAACAAAAAAGUAGGCCCUUUCGCCUUUGAGACACAUCGAUCUUUCACAACUAGCGCGCAACCUAGCCGACCCGUCUCCUGGUAGAUGUUGAUUUCUUCGCGUGUGUUCAAAGAAACUAAUUUAGGGGUGCUCUGGUUUUUUUACUGUUAGGCUGACCCCUGAAAAAAUUGACUUCGAACACACCUUAAUUGGAGGCACUACAAUGAAAGAAAAAUCGCUGUCUACUGAAAAAUGAACGCCCAUGAACCUGCACUACAGCAAAAAAGAAACCUACACCGAAAAGCAACCAGUGUUCAUGCAGGAAAAAGGCCUAAACCUACAAAAAGCAUACUGAAAAAUUAUAAUAGCCAAUACAUAACAGGUAACAGGAAAAAUUCAGAUCUGUCUGUUUUAGCGUGAAUAAAUCACGCCAAAAAAUAACCGUGAGCUUGCUCACAAAAGUCGGGCGUGAGAAGCAAAACCAUCUCCAUAAUGAAGGAAAUAUUUAAGCUGAAUAAUGUACAGAACAUGGUAAAAAAAACUGAAUAAUCUAGUACCAAAAGCUAGCUCUCAUUCACUAAACUGAAAAAUGAUAAGUACAGAAAAUAUAGAUUGUGCGCAUGUAACAUGUUUUCAUCAUGGAAGAUGCUACCGAAGAAAAUAGGAUUCAGAACAUUCCUUCGUCCAUGCUUACAUCAACAGAAAGCAGACGAAAAUGCCGCCUGAACCAUUACUGAACAUUGCAUAGACCCUCCCACAAAAAAAUAAAAUCACCAGCAAAUGCCUAAAAAACUCAAAUACCUACUUCCACACAUGCAACACAUGUGCAGUUUUUAAAAGACUGCAGAGGAGCCGAACCGCAGAUCUACAUCCAACACUUCGUAGUCAACUUAAUGGAAUGUUUUGUUUAGUGGUGAAAUUGACACUCAACACUUCUUUGAACCGGAGAUCUAGAUCCAGAAAAACAACAAGCCGGACUUGGCGAUGAAAUUUGGGGAUUGACUGACACACACGCAUAGGUGGCUGCAAAAUAUUCAGGAUCGUUUCUCAUGAACCACUCAAAAUCGCAGAUGUGAACUAAGCUAUCGCAAAACGUUCCUACCCAAAAACCAGCUAAUCGAACAACCCCUGCGACAUGGCUCUAUGCCCGGCGACCACGACGAUGAACUGAAUCAAACACAGAAAGAGGCAGAUCAGAUAGAACAAACAAAAAAAAUGGACAAACCUAGGACAACAGGGAGACGGAAGUAUACCUUGCGCCCCACCGACGCCGGCAAAUACUACCUCCCCCAGCAUGGGUGCUUGUUGGCCGCGAGCACGACGGGGAGCUCCGCUGAGUUCCUCUCCAGCCCGCGGCCCUCUCUGUGACGCACGCCUCCAGCAAUCAAGCGCCACGCUCCAUCUCCGGUUGGCCGACCAACCGCUAAUCACCGGCGAGGAGGCCCCUUCCCUCCGCCGUCUCCGCCCGCCUCGGCCAACCCCUUCCAAUCCCCUCCCCGGCUAGGACAAAGGCCGCCGCCCUUCG